AAGAUUUUAAGUUAAAUAAACUAGAAGCCUUCAAAGCUUAAAAUAAAAUUAUUUUAAAUCUUA
rnacentral:tRNA from 1 species